rnacentral:lncRNA from 1 species
CUUCGUUAGUAGGUGAGUCAGACUCGGACCCGCAGAUAUCAAAGUAGAAACAAUUUCCGGCCUGAGAUUCUGAAGGUGGUGGUGUCUUCUCUUCGGUUACUUCGAUUUCUUCUUCGUUUUCUAAACAUAACCAUAUAUAUACAUAUAUAAGAAUGAAUGCCAUGUAAUGCUCAUGAGAGUGCAAAGAUAAUAAGAAUUUAUUACCUAAGUCUUGAAUACAACUUUCUUUCACGGAACUCCGAGAACUUAGGGUUUCCGGAGUCAGUAAAGGAGUUCAAAGGGCAGGGGUGGGGGUUUUGGGUUCUAGUUAUCAAACAAGGUCCAAAUCAAAUCAAACUCUACCCAAGGCUUCUAAAUAAUAUGUAGAGCUUAUAUAAAAAGUUUGAUCAUUUUUGAAAUUACCAUAUGUUUUCUAAAAAUCCAAAACUAAUGCUUUAAACUACUUUAAAUGCCUUAAAAUUCCUUAUUUAAUCUAAAAAUCAUGAAACUAAUUUUAUUAAAUACUAUGGAAAAUAAGAAGCCUAGGAAAAUUGGUUUGACAAUUUUGGGAUUUUUCUACACUUUUCUAUAAUUGUUUUAGCUCUGGAAUAAAAAGAAAAGGAGAAACUUGUGAAUAGUAUUGGGCUGAUUUCAGCCCAGACGGCCCAACAGUGGACAGAAGCGCGCUCGCUCCCGCACGCGCUGGUUGUUUUGCGAAAAGGGCCUUGGGUUUUCAGCUAACUGAAAACAUAUUCUUUCACUGUUUCACGGUGUCUCUGACAGAUUGCAGAAAAGCCCUCAGUCUUCUAUUCCUUUGCGAGGCGAGGUCCCCGACGGCGCUCCGCACGGGAAGCCCAACUCCGGCGAGCUAGACCGGCCGGAGAAGGCCAAGACCGGUGCUCAGCUUCGGACUAAACCAAAUCCAUGACCUAGAGAAUGUUUCCCUAGCUUAAUUGCACGAAUGGUGACCUAUUCUAUUCUGCCCACGAGAACAGCGAAGGUUAUGAACAUUUGAUCGUGUUCCCGGUGAUUGGUGUGGCAGAACCUCCCAAGUUAUUGGGCCCACAUGCACCUGUCCUUGUCUCAAAGACCUCAGACUGCUAUGCAUGUGCACCAGAUAACUUAACAGGAUCCGUCCGAUUGCCCCAAGGGCACCGGAAAAACCACUUACAACCAGAACCGCGGGAUUAAGUAACACAAAUCACACACACCAAUAUUUUUGUAGCGGAACUUCUUUAUUACAAAAGGUUACAAGUUACAUCAAAUUUACAUUAUGUUUAUCGGAGUUAUUACAAAGUGAUUCAAAGAAAUAAACUUUGAAAUGUUAUAAAUUACUUGUAAGUUUAAAAUAGAUGCUAGCUUAAGUGACCAUCCUCAAUAAGAAGUAUAGAAGAAGUUACUUAGACUUAUAAGAAGGCCGAGCCCACCGGCACUUAGCACCAUCCACAGCAACACACUUCUAAUUUUGGUUCUUCCUUCUUCUGGGGAAACACCUUUGCACAAAAGUGGCAAAGCUUCGCAGGCUCUUCACCUAAAACAACAUGGGACAAAGCCCUGAGUACGAAGUGUACUUUCGCAAGUCUUACCCGACUAAGGAAAAAGACUCUCAAGGAUAUGCUGGAUUUAGGAAUCAAGGAGAGGCUUUUAGCAAGAAUCAACUUAGAUACUUUUGCAGAAAAAGCUUACUAAAGUGAGUCCUUACUUUCAAUAUUUUAAUGCCAGAUUAAAUAUUAAUAGACUCUGUUUGCACCUAGUCUAAUUUCACCAUCUCAUCAAUACAACAUCAUUUUUACUCAUAAUGUUUACAUCCUGACUUAGGUUGUAGGUCGGAGAUCAAGUCUCCACUCUCCGGGGAUAUAACGGCGAUCCGAAUCGAUUUACUCAGCUGAGGAUCUCUAACCACACGACAUAUGUAGCACUUAACCCUUGCAUAUGUCAACUGUUCCCACAGAUCCUCCACAACGUGAACCGGUCCGCGCUACCCGGGAGCACAGUACUCCUCCAUCCAGCCUCUAGCCAGGAGGGUACACGCUACUCCCACCAUCUCCCAUGCCCAGUGCGCGGUUGUCUUUUCACGUAUGGAAUAGCCGGGUUCAAACUUACCCUGUCCCAUUUCCAGGGCAUGUGGCUAGUUAAGAUAGUCCUUGAUCAACAGGCCUACAUACGCAUCCAAUCCUUAAUUAACCUGGGCGGAGCAUCACCUGUUCCUAACCCAAGUCCCGAUUUAAGUACUUCCAUCCUUAGGAUUGUUUGUAUUCCUUAGGAUGAAAAGAGCAUUAUAGGGAACUUUGCAGUAAGAUCCCACCACGUUCCCAAUGAAAAAUAUUCUUGCAGGUAGAAGCCAUCUUUCCUCAGGAUAACCCCUGAGCUAGGCCUUAAUGCAAAAGACAACCUCUAUCCACAAGAUCUAAGCAGGGAUAAGCAUUUUUGUAAAUCAUAUUUUGAUACUUCAUCAGAAGUAUCUAUAAAGGUAUGGAUAUCAAGGUAAGCAAUGCAUCAAAGGGUUUCCAAGCAACUCCUAUAAACCUAAUGCACAUUUCACUAGACUUAAAGUGUGCAAACAUUAUUUAAAAACACAAGGAAGGGGUUGCAUGCACCGGGGCUUGCCUUUGUUGCAGUGAAGUGGUUCUAGAUCCCUCUAUUCAAUACCCAGUUAGAUGGCUUCAUCCACUUGAGGAGCAGGCGUUGGAGUAGACUUCUUCAAAUACCACCUCGUCUAGGUGUUCUACAAGUCAAUUACAAAUACAUGAAUGCUUAUGUAAUGACAUGUAAUGCAAACUCUCACAAGGAGAGGUGGGGAACAGAAACACUACAACUAAAGCACAUGACAAGAAUACACCUAUUUCUUAACGCUCGAUUAAAGUGACCAAUUUGAAUUCACUUAGGUAAACCAGAGAACUAAUCCAUCUUUGAUCUCAUCCAAAAGUGUAAAACUUCAUAAGCAACUGCAUCUCUUCCCUAAAUAAACUUAGCUCCUUUCCAAAGCAUUAAUUCAUACUUGAUUAGGGAUUUUCUCACCCUAUUUGUGACUUUACAAUGCUUUCUAAGAAAAAGGUUUCUAAAAAGGCUCCAAAUUUUAACAAGUGCUCACUUUAUGAUAACAAGUCUUUCCAAGAAUUUCCAUGAUUUUUGGUGCUCAACUCUGAUUUCAAAAAUUCCAAUAAUCCUUCCAAAGACACCUUUGAUUCACUUAAAAUUUGCUAACUGAUCUAAAAAUCCUAAAACCAUUCUUAUCUGAGAUCUCAUGAAUUUAGACAUCCAACAAAAUUGAUCUCACUAUUUUUGGAUUUUUCUACAAUUUCUAGCACAAUUUAUAAGUUCUCUGUUAAAGAAAAUACCAAAAUAUGAACAGCAUUGGGCCCAAACUAGACCACACCGCCCAAGUUGUGCAGAGCCGACCCAUGGCUGACAGCUCGCACCCACGCCGUGCGCGCUUUGCAAAAAGAACCUCGUUGCCCAGACAAAUCCAAACGAGCCCGAGCCACUGUUAAUUGGUGUCACUGACAGUUUCGCUUAGAUCCCUCGACUUCAUCUCUUUUGCACAAACUCAGUCGCGACACCGUCGUGCUCAACCCCGGCGGUCAGACGUCCGAUCCGCCACGGUGGUGUGACCUAGUCAACGACGACGGCACCAUCACGAUCCCUAGGCAACGGUGGACUCCAACCUGUGUUCAAUCGACCGCGGGGACACUAAGACCUAACUACCGAUGGCGGCGGCGACAAACCCAGUUCAGUGGGCUCAAUUCUAUGGGGACGGUCUGCAGCGGCGCGACCCUGUUCCGGUCAACACAAGACGGUAGAACUGAAAUUACCAAUGGGAAAACCUUCACUGACCUUAGAAGAACGUGGAACGAGGGUCAUGCGGGCUGGUCACUCCUUGAGACGUCUUGGCCACGGCGAGGUAGGCAGUCAGUGGGCGUGGUCACCACUGACAGAGGGAUGGCAUACUAGACCCUGGGACUGGGCAAACUUGGGCAGGGGAGAGGUGAACACUGGUGCGGACAGAAGACCUACCACACUCACACACGCUGCAAUCUGGCUGGAGCUUGAGGAUAGGGAGGAAAACUUCCCUGGACCAAGUUUUAUAGCCACAGAUUAAGGGCAGAUGUCAUUGAACCUGUGCACUGCAUGGAGGUGAAGAGCAGCUAGAGAUGCCAGCACAACCUGGGCUCCAAUACGUGGCCUUCAUGCUGAAGUCCCACACAGGUUCACAGCUAUCACCAAGACACUGAACCUAGGCCACUCACUCACAAAUAUCCAUUGUGGAUAAACUCUAACCAGUUCAAAGGUUGGAUAUUUUGUUCAGCCGAGAGGGAGGUCUUAAGACCUUAGUCCUGUACUGCAUACACAUCCCAAUCUCUACUCACAAGUACUCCUUUUGUUCCCAACUGCAAACAGCAAAUAGAACUCCCAAAUAUUUACUGCCCACUGCUCCCAAACCAGUCCAACCUAGAUUUUCUUCAGUAGAGAGUGAGCCACUAGCACCUAAAUUGUGCAUUUUAUCCUUAUCUCCAUCCCUACAACCAACUACAACCAUAGCAGGGAAAAGAGAUCUUCUUCAGUUGCUUAAACAACCUCAGAAUCUAACUAAUCAGUUCUACUGCUCCUCUCCACCCUUCCAUGUUCAGGCCCCCUGAUCUCCUAAUUUUCCAUAGCAAAAGACCACUCACCCUUAACCAAAAUUACUCUCUAUUCAUAGCUCUACCACUUCUAGAUAGCAACCCAUAACUGAAAACAUAUAGAACAAAAGUUAUGGUACCCCAAGGUAUAGCCAAAACCUCUGAAAUGUCGAAUUCCAAAUAUCUGAAACAGCAUAACACCCACCUGACAGCCUAACAUGGAAUCCACUUUUCUCCAAAUUCACAGUGAUAACAGGCUGAUUUUGGUUCACAGAAUUUGCUCACCUAACACAUCUCUACAAGUUUGUUGCAGUAUCCUAAGGCCAGAUGCCCAUAAUUCAAGAGUUAUGGUGCUCUAAAGUUGGGCAAACUUCACUGAAACACGGUUUCAGUUUAACUGAAACAGCACCUACAACGUCUAACAGAGAAUUUUGCAGCAGGCUAUUCUCUAAAUUCCAUACAGUAACAAGCCUACUCUUUGCACAAAACUUGUUCAUCUACAUCUGGUCUCGCAUUUUGCUACAGAAUCGUAACCCAAGUCUCUUUGUAUUUAUUACCACAAGGCCCCAAAGUUGGGUAAAAACACACAUAUUCAAUCUUAAAUAUUAUUCUAAGUCUGAAUCCCAACACCUGACAGUCCACCUUUUGGCCACUUUUACUCCCAAAUUUAUGUGGAACCAGGUCCAUCUUACUUUAGAAAACUUGUUCACUUUACUAUGGUCUACAACUUUGCUAUGGAAUCCUUAGUCUAAAUCUGCAGGAAUCAGUCACAAAUAGGCUCCAAACUCAGCACCUUUCACUGAAAUUCAGUUUUCAAUAACUGAAUAUAAUUCAGUUUCAGCCACAACACAGUCCCACUUUAAGCAGUUGUUAUUCCAAUUCUUGUAUGGGAUCAUGUCCAUCACCCUUUAAGGAAGUUGUUCACCAAUAUAUGGUCUUUAAUUCCUCUACAAGCACCAUAGUCUAAAACCUUAUAUAACAGCCAUAAAUGAGCUCCAAAACAGCCAUCAAUACUGAAUUCCAAAUUCAGCUACUAUUCACAAUCUGAAAAUUCAGAAACACAGCAGCACCACUUUGAACCACUCUUCUUCCUGGGUUCCAAAUGCUUCUAGGGCAAGUUUCUUAAUAAGGUUUAUACUCCUAUAGUUCCUCUACAAGUUUUAUAUAGUGACCAAUAACCAAAACCUCUUGGAUUCCAAACUAUACUAGCCCAAAGUUUGCACAAAAUACUGAAAUUCAGACCCUGAAUUUCACUAAGUCUGAAAUAUACAAAAUCUGACAGCUCUAAUUUGGACCACUUUUUCAACUAGUUUCAUAUAGUUUUAGGGCUGGUACACUUAAUAAGGAUUGUUCUCCAACAGUCACUUUACAAGUUUGUUAUAGCAACUCCUUACCAAAAGUCCAUAGAUCAAAAGUUAUAAGGGUCCAAAAACAGCUAUAUGAAACUGUUUUCAGCCCAAUUCAAACUGAACCCAAAACUGAAUUUCUGCAUAUUACUCCAAAUUUCUCCACACAACUUGGAAUUCUCCAAAUAAGAAACUUAUUCACUUUUCCAAGCUCUACCAUUUUGGUAUAUAGACUUUUAGCUAAAUCCUUCUAGAUUUUGAAUUCCCCUUUUGGGCUAGUUUUAGGGUUUCAAAUGAGUUUCAUUUGUGUUUCAGCUUCUUCUAGGGAUUCAUCCCUUUGAUCCCUCCACCUAGAGCAAAGUUACUCUCUAGCUCAAGAUCCAAUCUUCUCAAGUGUUACUUCCACUAGACUAACACUUCAAAACAAAUAAUUCCAGGUUCUUAAAGCUUUCCUUUAAUACUUAAGACUCCAAGUCAUCAUAUUACUUGCUCAAGAGAUGAUCUUCCCUCAUUUUGCUUAAACCAGGUCCUUAACUAAGUCCACUACUCAACACACAACAUCACACUUUUUGUAAAGUUUUAACCUAGUAAAUGCAUUCUAGGUGUAACAAGCACAUUAAUGCAGAUGCUUAUGAUGACAUGUCAGAGUUUUAGUUUACGUAACACCAGGGGUGUUACAGCCUUCCCCCCUAAAAGAAAUCUCGUCCCGAGAUUUAAAAGUUCAGGCUCCGUAACGGAAAAGGAAAUGUGUCACAAACUUAUUUCCCAAUUUCUCCUACCAGGCAGGGGAGGUGUUCUGUCUCGCUUAACCACGAGUUAAUCACGAUGUCGUUCAACAUUCGCACUCGUCUCUGAUGCUACGGAUUUCCAAUGAUGACUCAGCGAUGAAUCUCUUUCUCUGUGUUUUACCCAAGAUGUUGCAUCUAAUUUGUUUUGGAUAAAGUCUAUCCAUUUGUCCAUUUCUCGUUCAACAGACUCACAUGGAAAAUCACGGUGGUACCAUUUCAUCACGAAACACAACCAGAAACUAUGGUACCAGCGUGUACCAAGUCAUUUAUCCACACACGUGCAUCCACAGGGAAUAUCCAAAGGAAUAGCCAUUUUAACUCUUGGGAUUCGACAAACGGCUAUAGAUAUUAAAAGUUGCUUCUGAAACAGGCAGUUGUUUCUUACACCAUAGUCAUAGAAAAGCUCACAGGUUACAUGAUCCAGGUGAAACAGGAUAAACUCUUUACAACAAAGUUUAACCUGUUUUUUUUACUAGCUAACAUUGCCAUAUGGGUUUACCUUACAUCCACCCUUCAAAACUAAUUUACAUAGUUAUAUUGCCUCACGAGGAUUAAGUUGCCUGCUAUAUCUUCUCCAGUUAUCACAUCUGCCAGAUGUUUGUUUCCAUGCUCCAUAGGUACCUUUUAGUCUGUUGGUGUUGGGGCAGAAUAAAAGGCGCCAUUGAGCAUAUGCACCGUUUGUUGCAGAUGGUUGACCAGUCGUUGCGCUGUUUGAAAUUCCAUUGGAUAGGUACGAUGCAACUCCUCAAGCACCUGAUCCUGAUGACUUAGGAAGCCCAUGGUUUCUUUAAGUUCUUCCCUAACAGUAACAACAUACGAGCGAAUUUCUUCUUGUUGCUGACUCAAAACUUUUGAUUUAGAAUGAGCAUUAGUUAGCUGAUGCUCAAGAUCCUUAAUGCGAUGAUGAUCAACUUGGUGUUGCAUCUGAAGUUCUGUCACCUGAUGCUCUAAUCCAAUAAUUCGCUCAGCUUGAAUCUUUGUUUCCUCCAGUUGUUCUUGUGCCUGGGUACAAGCCCUAUUCUUGGCCAUUUCCAUCAUCUUAAAUGCUGCAUAACUCCCAGUGUACAACUGCUGCCACAUUUGCCGACUGUGCCCUCGAGUAAGCUGCAACUCUAGCACGACCAUCAAAACUCGAGCAGAUGCUGAUUCAACCGAAUCCUGCCCAAUGGGAAUGUUUUCCAUUACUCGAGCCUGGUGAUGAUACACCACUGGGUCGCUUAAGGCAACUGCAGGGAACAACCUCAUAGACGUGGCCUGUAUUUCUUCCCACUUCUGGUAACAUAUUGUUGUCAACACCUCUAAGGCAGUUACCUGAGCACCUUCCCAAGGAGUCAUUCCUUCAGCAUGGAACAUCCAAUGUGGCCAAGAUGGUUUUCUAGCACGUUCUGGAAUACGCACUACUACCUCAUACCAUGGUUGUCCUCUAAGAACAGUGCGUGACCACUGGUACUUAGGUGCUUCGAUAUAUCCAACUUCUUGAAGUAGUCGCCACAGGACCAUUGGAAUACCAAAAUCUCGUAGAAACUCUCCAACUCCUGUAGGAGCUUCUUGUUGAUUCAUCUAUAGAGAAGAGCAACGUAUACACUCUAUUCACUAAAGAUGUAUGAACAAGGUAGAUGAAACAUAUACUAAAUAGCUACGCAGGGGGUUUAACUUAAAGUUGUAUGACAUGAUGCAUGCUCGUCCUAUACGUCCUUGCAACUCUUGCCAACAUAUAGUGGCUAUCACGUUCUAUGGCGGUGGCAAUCCUACUCACUCCGUCAUUGAACACUAGUCGGACUUUCCUAAGGUUUAGUUAGUGUACCUGCAGAAAAUUACAUUAUAGUUGUGGGUUAGUGGUUAAUAUCCUAAACUAAGCCACCUUAUAGUCCUUAACUUAGGGCUUAACAGAGGAUGUCGCUAGCAUUAUAGUUUUUCAAAACUGUUUUUCAAAGCCAAACAAUGUGUUUAGUUGAAAAUAGGUUUUCUAAAACCAAAACUUUUGUUUUGAAAAUACGUAUGUGACCGUAUAUACUUAAUCCAGCUCCGAUACCAGCUGUGGCAGAACCUCCCAAGUUAUUGGGCCCACAUGCACCUGUCCUUGUCUCAAAGACCUCAGACUGCUAUGCAUGUGCACCAGAUAACUUAACAGGAUCCGUCCGAUUGCCCCAAGGGCACCGGAAAACCCACUUACAACCAGAACCGCGGGAUUAAGUAACACAAAUCACACACACCAAUAUUUUUGCAGCGGAACUUCUUUAUUACAAAAGGUUACAAGUUACAUCAAAUUUACAUUAUGUUUAUCGGAGUGAUUACAAAGUGAUUCAAAGAAAUAAACUUUGAAAUGUUAUAAAUUACUUGUAAGUUUAAAAUAGAUGCUAGCUUAAGUGACCAUCCUCAAUAAGAAGUAUAGAAGAAGUUACUUAGACUUAUAAGAAGGCCGAGCCCACCGGCACUUAGCACCAUCCACAGCAACACACUUCUAAUUUUGGUUCUUCCUUCUUCUGGGGAAACACCUUUGCACAAAAGUGGCAAAGCUUCGCAGGCUCUUCAUCUAAAACAACAUGGGACAAAGCCCUGAGUACGAAGUGUACUUUCGCAAGUCUUACCCGACUAAGGAAAAAGACUCUCAAGGAUAUGCUGGAUUUAGGAAUCAAGGAGAGGCUUUUAGCAAGAAUCAACUUAGAUACUUUUGCAGAAAAAGCUUACUAAAGUGAGUCCUUACUUUCAAUAUUUUAAUGCCAGAUUAAAUAUUAAUAGACUCUGUUUGCACCUAGUCUAAUUUCACCAUCUCAUCAAUACAACAUCAUUUUUACUCAUAAUGUUUACAUCCUGACUUAGGUUGUAGGUCGGAGAUCAAGUCUCCACUCUCCGGGGAUAUAACGGCGAUCCGAAUCGAUUUACUCAGCUGAGGAUCUCUAACCACACGACAUAUGUAGCACUUAACCCUUGCAUAUGUCAACCGUUCCCACAGAUCCUCCACAACGUGAACCGGUCCGCGCUACCCGGGAGCACAGUACUCCUCCAUCCAGCCUCUAGCCAGGAGGGUACACGCUACUCCCACCAUCUCCCAUUUCCAGGGCAUGUGGCUAGUUAAGAUAGUCCUUGAUCAACAGGCCUACAUACGCAUCCAAUCCUUAAUUAACCUGGGCGGAGCAUCACCUGUUCCUAACCCAAGUCCCGAUUUAAGUACUUCCAUCCUUAGGAUUGUUUGUAUUCCUUAGAAUGAAAAGAGCAUUAUAGGGAACUUUGCAGUAAGAUCCCACCACGCUCCCAAUGAAAAAUAUUCUUGCAGGUAGAAGCCAUCUUUCCUCAGGAUAACCCCUGAGCUAGGCCUUAAUGUAAAAGACAACCUCUAUCCACAAGAUCUAAGCAGGGAUAAGCAUUUUUGUAAAUCAUAUUUUGAUACUCAUCAGAAGUAUCUAUAAAGGUAUGGAUAUCAAGGUAAGCAAUGCAUCAAAGGGUUUCCAAGCAACUCCUAUAAACCUAAUGCACAUUUCACUAGACUUAAAGUGUGCAAACAUUAUUUAAAAAUACAAGGAAGGGGUUGCAUGCACCGGGGCUUGCCUUUGUUGCAGUGAAGUGGUUCUAGAUCCCUCUAUUCAAUACCCAGUUAGAUGGCUUCAUCCACUUGAGGAGCAGGCGUUGGAGUAGACUUCUUCAAAUACCACCUCGUCUAGGUGUUCUACAAGUCAAUUACAAAUACAUGAAUGCUUAUGUAAUGACAUGUAAUGCAAACUCUCACAAGGAGAGGUGGGGAACAGAAACACUACAACUAAAGCACAUGACAAGAAUACACUUAUUUCUUAACGCUCGAUUAAAGUGACCAAUUUGAAUUCACUUAGGUAAACCAGAGAACUAAUCCAUCUUUGAUCUCAUCCAAAAGUGUAAAACUUCAUAAGCAACUGCAUCUCUUCCCUAAAUAAACUUAGCUCCUUUCCAAAGCAUUAAUUCAUACUUGAUUAGGGAUUUUCUCACCCUAUUUGUGACUUUACAAUGCUUUCUAAGAAAAAGGUUUCUAAAAAGGCUCCAAAUUUUAACAAGUGCUCACUUUAUGAUAACAAGUCUUUCCAAGGAUUUCCAUGAUUUUUGGUGCUCAACUCUGAUUUCAAAAAUUCCAAUAAUCCUUCCAAAGACACCUUUGAUUCACUUAAAAUUUGCUAACUGAUCUAAAAAUCCUAAAACCAUUCUUAUUUGAGAUCUCAUGAAUUUAGACAUCCAACAAAAUUGAUCUCACUAUUUUUGGAUUUUUCUACAAUUUCUAGCACAAUUUAUAAGUUCUCUGUUAAAGAAAAUACCAAAAUAUGAACAGCAUUGGGCCCAAACUAGACCACACCGCCCAAGUUGUGCAGAGCCGACCCAUGGCUGACAGCUCGCACCCACGCCGUGCGCGCUUUGCAAAAAGAACCUCGUUGCCCAGACAAAUCCAAACGAGCCCGAGCCACUGUUAAUUGGUGUCACUGACAGUUUCGCUUAGACCCCUCGACUUCAUCUCCUUUGCACAAACUCAGUCGCGACACCGUCGUGCUCAACCCCGGCGGUCAGACGUCCGAUCCGCCACGGUGGUGUGACCUAGUCAACGACGACGGCACCAUCACGAUCCCCAGGCAACGGUGGACUCCAACCUGUGUUCAAUCGACCGCGGGGACAUUAAGACCUAACUACCGAUGGCGGCGGCGACAAACCCAGUUCAGUGGGCUCAAUUCUAUGGGGACGGUCUGCAGCGGCGCGACCCUGUUCCGGUCAACACAAGACGGUAGAACUGAAAUUACCAAUGGGAAAACCUUCGCUGACCUUAGAAGAACGUGGAACGAGGGUCAUGCGGGCUGGUCACUCCUUGAGACGUCUUGGCCACGGCGAGGUAGGCAGUCAGUGGGCGUGGUCACCACUGACAGAGGGAUGGCAUACUAGACCCUGGGACUGGGCAAACUUGGGCAGGGGAGAGGUGAACACUGGUGCGGACAGAAGACCUACCACACUCACACACGCUGCAAUCUGGCUGGAGCUUGAGGAUAGGGAGGAAAACUUCCCUGGACCAAGUUUUAUAGCCACAGAUUAAGGGCAGAUGUCACUUAACCUGUGCACUGCAUGGAGGUGAAGAGCAGCUAGAGAUGCCAGCACAACCUGGG